CAAACCCCCAUUCAUAUCUCUUAAGAAAAAGGCUUCGGAGAGAGAAGUAGCGGACUCAGACUCCAGACUUCACAAGAGAAGAAGAAGAAGAAGAAAACAGCGAGAGAGAGAGAGAGAGAGAGAGAGAGAGAGAGAGAGAGAGACUGCAUUCAUGGCGGAAGGUCAAAAUCCCUUGGCGUCAAGCAGCGACAACGCCGGCAGCGGCGAGAGCGUGAAGCUGUUCGUAGGCCAGGUGCCGAAGCACAUGACGGAGUCUCAGCUCCUCGCGAUGUUCAAGGAAGUCGCUCUUGUCGAGGAAGUCAACAUCAUCAAAGACAAGGCCACCAGAACUUCCAGAGGAUGCUGCUUUUUGAUUUGCCCGUCGAGGCAGGAAGCAGAUAAGGCAGUCAAUGCAUGCCAUAAUAAGCGGACGCUUCCAGGGGCUUCUAGUCCGUUGCAAGUCAAGUAUGCAGAUGGCGAGUUGGAAAGACUAGAACACAAGCUUUUUGUUGGUAUGCUUCCAAAGAAUGUUACUGAUGCUGAAGUUUCUGCUUUAUUUUCAAAAUAUGGAAAUAUCAAAGAUUUACAAAUUCUAAGAGGUUCUCAACAAACAAGCAAAGGUUGUGCUUUUUUGAAGUAUGAGACAAAAGAUCAAGCUCUUGCAGCCCUGGAGGCAAUCAAUGGGAAGUACAAGAUGGAGGGUUCAAGUGUUCCUUUAGUUGUUAAGUGGGCAGAUACAGAAAAAGAAAGGCAAGCUCGAAGAGCUCAGAAAGCUCAGUCUCAAGCUUCUAAUGUGACAAACACUGAUUCAUCACAGCAGUCGUCAUUAUUUGGAGCUCUGCCAAUGGGAUACAUGGCUCCAUAUAAUGGGUUUGGUUAUCAGGCACCUGGCACUUAUGGACUUAUGCAGUAUCCCUUAACUUCAAUGCAAAAUCAACCUGGAUUCCACAAUAUGAUUCCACCUGUUAAUCAGGGAAAUGCAUUGCGUGGAAUCACACCUGAUCUUACCCCAACUAUGGCACCCAGAAAUUUCAGUACAGUGCAAUCCAACUAUUUAGGUUCGGCAUAUCCUGCUGUGCCUGGUCUUCAGUAUCCUGUGGCCUACCCUGGUAGCAUGAUGAACCACAGGCCUUUGGUUGGUUCCCAUGGUUUGACCCAACUUGCAAUGGCAAAUAGUAGCUUGGCAACAUCUUCAAGCAUCAGUACAAGUUCUGGGGCUCAGAUGGAAGGUCCUCCCGGAGCUAAUCUAUUUAUCUAUCAUAUACCUCAAGAAUUUGGUGAUGUGGAGCUUUCGAAUGCUUUUCAGGCAUUUGGUAGGGUAUUAAGUGCUAAGGUCUUUGUCGACAAAGCCACUGGUGUCAGCAAAUGCUUUGGUUUUGUCAGCUAUGACUCACCUGCAUCUGCCCAAGCUGCUAUCAAUAUGAUGAAUGGGUGUCAAUUAGGUGGCAAGAAGUUGAAGGUACAACUUAAGAGAGACAACAAACAGAGUAAACCUUAUUGACAUCUGAAUAGAUGUUUUAUGGGAGCAAGCAGCAUUCUCUGCCGAACAUUGGCCUAUGUGACCGCACUAGUUGGAAUUCACUGCAGCAUCAGCCGUGGUAUGGGGUGGAUGGAAGAUAAUUGUUGGUUAUAUAUAUACUCCAUCCCAUUGUGUCUUAAAGGAUGCUCGAAGGUGCCUUAUUUUCGUACUACAUCUGGUCUAAAGAAUCAAUGAAUGGUGUUGCUGUAACAUUUGUUUGGUUUGGAAGUGUGGCAUUGCUUCAAUCUGCAAGAAAUCAUAGAGGACAUAAUUUUCCAGUUUCAAUGCCAGUCAGGAGCCGAUUGAUGCCAUACUGAUGCACCAAAACCCAACCGUGGUGUAGGCUCACAUGCAUUCUUCUAAUCCUCUUUUGAGAAAUGCUUCAUAUUCUCAAUUUCGUUCACUGUUUUUACGAUCAUCAUCAAUUCUUUUCCUGAUUUCCUUCUCUCUUUUGCAGAUCAACAGAUGAGUUCUGAAUAAAAUUCCCUGUGCAGUGAAAGAAACAUUCCAUCAGAGUCAUUGAUUCUAUUGAAAUACAUGUUUGUCUCCACCUCCUUGAAGUGCAUGGGCCUGGCAGAGGACAGUGAUGGCAGAGAUAAUUUUUUACCACUAAAUCAGAUAGGUACCGAUGUGUAUGCUUGGGCUUCUUUAGAAACGAAAGAAAUCCAAUUCAAGAGAAAUGGCCAAAAUCAAUACCGAUCAGAAAAUUUAAUUCAUAAAACAGGCAAAAAAGAGGUUUCAACAGACUCAAAAACAAAACUAUGUAGCAGCAGAAGCACCGCCAUACAACCAAACAUGCCCAAAGUUCGAACAUACAGCUUCCGGCGCACCACCCAACUGACAUGAAAAGGGUCUCUUCUGGUCCAAUUUCAGUGGAUUUUAGUUCAAAGGCCUUGUGGAAUCCACAUUAAAGAAAUUGGGUGAUGUUUGGUGAAGCUUUGAGAGAGAUGUUGAUCGGAGAUCAGAUGGUCAUAGGAAGGUGCCUCCGCAUGUGAAACUUCACAUGGAUCCCAAUUUAUAUAAUAUUUAUAUGCAUUCUUUGUGGAUAUCCCUAAUUUAUGUUACCAUAUUAGAUAAUGUUUGUAAGCAAUUUCAGUACCAUAUGGAUGACGAAAUUAUUAUUUUAGUGUUUGGACAAAUGAUGUUAUUGUAACAUGCUUUGAUUUGACCAUCUCCUAACCCCCGACUCGUGGGCCCUAUACAGCUCUUAGAUUCGUGGUAUUUAA